UUGGAGGGCAAGUCUGGUGCCAGCAGCCGCGGUAAUUCCAGCUCCAAUAGCGUAUAUUAAAGUUGUUGCAGUUAAAAAGCUCGUAGUUGGAUUUCUGUUUUGGAUGUCCGGUCCGCUUCCUUUGGAAGUGUGUACUUAUGGAUGUUCGAAGCAUUUUGUGAGGCUGCCUUUCUGCCAUUAAGUUGGUGGGUUGGUGGGCUUGCAUCGUUACUGUGAAAAAAUUAGAGUGUUUAAAGCAGGCGUUAGCUCAUUUGAAUACAUUAGCAUGGAAUAAUAAGAUAUGACUUUGGUCUAUUUUGUUGGUUUGCACACCAGAGUAAUGAUUAAUAGGGACAGUUGGGGGUAUUCAUAUUUCAGCGUCAGAGGUGAAAUUCUUGGAUCGCUGAAAGAUGAGCUUAGGCGAAAGCAUUUACCAAGGAUGUUUUCAUUAAUCAAGAACGAAAGUUAGGGGAUCGAAGAUGAUUAGAUACCAUCGUAGUCUUAACCAUAAACUAUGCCGACUCGGGAUUGGCAGUCGUUUACUUUAAAUGACCUUGUCAGCACCGUAUGAGAAAUCAAAGUCUUUGGGUUCCGGGGGGAGUAUGGUCGCAAGGCUGAAACUUA
rnacentral:ncRNA from 1 species